rnacentral:lncRNA from 1 species
ACUUCCGCCAUCGUUCUCGGCGCCGAGGUUUUCAGGAGCUACGCCAACACAGGUCUCACUAAGCUCCCGUGGCUUCGGCAGUUGUACCUAAAAGGAACCACUGAGGCAGCUGUGGGAAGGCGUUGGGUCCGUCAUCCGAAGCAAAUUCUAGACAAAGGCGAGAAGUUAACCAUAGAGAAGCCACUUGAGCGGAGAGAGUAGCCGCCCACUAAAAGAAAUCAGCGAGAUGAUAAAGCUCUUUGAAGAGCUGGCUGCAGCCUAGAGCGCCUGGCCCUGCAUCGAGGGGUACACGGACACCGCCCCCAGGGAUCUGGCGAGCGAUGUAGCGGUGACCUUGGGAGGCCGAGUGGAGUGGGCGGAGCCUGAACUUAACGACCUUGGUCUUUUAGGGGAAAGGGACAAGGUGGUCCUGGAGGGCUCUACCUUAGACGGGAACUAAAGUUGGGACAGCAAUAGUGAGGUCAGUUUUGGACAUGCUUGCGGGUCAUCAGUAGGUACAUAGAGAUAGAGCUUGAAGUUCAAGAGAGGCUUCAGGGCAAGUUAGAGGGAUGACGAAGUAAGGUACAAAGUGCUGUUGAGACCUUGCGCACAAAUACCUUCUAGCAACCCAAGCUCGCAUUGAUCCAGCGUCACUACAGCUGAAGUAAUUGAAAAGGCCAGAGUAGAUUGGGAUCAUUGACAGGGCCCAAAAGAUUAUGUCUAUAGCUUGUCAUCUGUGAUUGUACUCUACUCGUGCGGUCGGUCGCUUUCACCCACAGAGGGGCUCUAGUCUUCUUGGUGUGGCAAGAUGGUUUUCCAUAGAUUCAAAUUUAAAUCCUAAUAGUUAAGCAACUCAGUGUAAGGAGUAUCACUCUUUCUAAGAUCAUCAAUAAAAUUUUCAGAAUUAGGCUAGUGAGAUGCCUUUUCAGUAAAAGUGCUUGUGUUUUCUAUGCAAACCUGAUUAGCCAGAAUUCCCUCCCCAUAACCCACUGUGGAAAGAGAAAGGAUGUUGGAAAGUUGGCUUCUGACUUAGAACAUGGCACACACACCACACAUGUGUGAUACCCCCCCCCCAUCAC